rnacentral:rRNA from 1 species
CAGCCGCCGCGGUAAUACGUAGGGUGCGAGCGUUAAUCGGAAUUACUGGGCGUAAAGCGUGCGCAGGCGGUUCGUUAAGACAGAUGUGAAAUCCCCGGGCUUAACCUGGGAACUGCAUUUGUGACUGACGGGCUAGAGUAUGGCAGAGGGGGGUAGAAUUCCACGUGUAGCAGUGAAAUGCGUAGAGAUGUGGAGGAAUACCGAUGGCGAAGGCAGCCCCCUGGGCCAAUACUGACGCUCAUGCACGAAAGCGUGGGGAGCAAACAGGAUUAGAUACCCCCGUAGUCCCUGUCUCUUACAC